rnacentral:rRNA from 1 species
UACGUCCCGGGGCUUGUACACACCGCCCGUCACGUCACGAAAGUCGGUAACACCCGAAGCCGGUGGCCCAACCCUUGUGGAGGGAGCCGUCGAAGGUGGGACUGGCGAUUGGGACG